ACAGCUCGCGUGACCGGCCACUGUGCGCGAGGCGCCGGCUGCCAGGAGCACCGACGGCCGGGCGCGCGCCGCUGCAAGGGGCGUCCGGGUCCGGGUCGGCGGACCCGGCCGGCGCGAGGGGCGCGCGGGUGGGCCGUGGGGGUCCGGGGCGGACACCCGCGCACACGCUCCCAGAAGAGCCUUCUCCGAGGCUGCUCUUCCUCGGCCAGACGGAGAGCGGCAGUGUCUCCCCGCCCAGCGCACACUCGCCCCGCGUCUCCCCCCGCGGCGACUGCUCCUCCUCGGCACCGCCAGCCCCAGCGCCGCUCCGGGGCGGGCGGCGGCGGCGGCGGCGGGACCCGCGGAGCCGCUUUGUGUGCAGCCCGAAGAGGGGCGGCGGCGCAACCACCUGACAGAGGCCCGGGCGCUCGAUGCACCUUCCGCCCGCAUGAGGAGGAGAGGCCGGUAGAGGACUGUGAAAGAAAAGUUGUCCCCCAGGAUGGACUUCACCGCGCAGCCCAAGCCUGCCACAGCCCUCUGUGGCGUCGUGAGUGCCGAUGGGAAGAUCGCUUACCCUCCGGGGGUAAAGGAGAUCACCGACAAGAUUACCACCGACGAAAUGAUCAAACGACUGAAGAUGGUAGUAAAAACUUUUAUGGAUAUGGAUCAGGACUCAGAAGAUGAAAAACAGCAGUAUCUCCCACUAGCCUUGCAUCUAGCGUCUGAAUUUUUUCUCAGGAAUCCCAAUAAAGAUGUGCGUCUCCUUGUAGCAUGUUGUUUGGCUGACAUCUUUCGAAUCUAUGCCCCAGAAGCUCCAUAUACUUCCCAUGAUAAACUUAAGGACAUAUUUUUGUUUAUUACCCGACAAUUAAAAGGUUUGGAGGAUACAAAGAGCCCUCAGUUUAAUAGAUACUUUUAUUUAUUAGAGAAUUUAGCUUGGGUUAAAUCAUAUAACAUCUGCUUUGAAUUGGAAGAUUGCAAUGAAAUUUUUAUUCAGCUUUUUAGGACUCUCUUCUCAGUGAUCAACAAUAGCCACAAUAAGAAGGUACAAAUGCACAUGCUAGACUUGAUGAGUUCUAUCAUCAUGGAAGGUGAUGGAGUUACUCAAGAAUUAUUGGACUCCAUUCUUAUUAACCUCAUUCCUGCACAUAAGAACUUAAAUAAACAGUCCUUCGACCUCGCAAAAGUCCUGUUGAAAAGGACAGUCCAGACUAUUGAGGCAUGCAUUGCUAAUUUUUUCAAUCAAGUCCUGGUGCUGGGAAGAUCGUCAGUAAGUGAUUUGUCAGAACAUGUAUUUGAUCUGAUUCAGGAACUUUUUGCUAUAGAUCCUCAUUUAUUAUUAUCUGUCAUGCCACAGCUUGAAUUCAAACUGAAGAGCAAUGAUGGAGAAGAGCGAUUAGCUGUUGUUCGACUUCUAGCCAAAUUGUUUGGUUCUAAAGAUUCUGAUUUGGCAACACAGAAUCGUCCUCUGUGGCAGUGUUUUCUUGGACGAUUUAAUGAUAUUCAUGUUCCUGUAAGAUUAGAAAGUGUGAAAUUUGCCAGUCAUUGUUUAAUGAAUCAUCCAGAUUUAGCAAAGGAUCUCACAGAAUAUUUGAAAGUUAGAUCACAUGAUCCAGAAGAAGCUAUUCGUCAUGAUGUCAUUGUUACUAUAAUAACAGCUGCCAAAAGAGAUCUUGCCUUAGUAAAUGAUCAGCUACUUGGCUUUGUAAGGGAAAGAACACUGGACAAACGGUGGCGAGUAAGAAAAGAAGCUAUGAUGGGUCUGGCUCAGCUUUAUAAGAAAUACUGUCUUCAUGGUGAAGCAGGAAAGGAAGCUGCAGAGAAAGUCAGCUGGAUAAAAGACAAACUUUUGCAUAUAUAUUAUCAGAAUAGCAUCGAUGACAAACUGUUGGUAGAGAAAAUUUUUGCUCAGUAUCUUGUUCCCCACAACCUGGAAACAGAAGAAAGGAUGAAAUGCUUGUAUUAUUUAUAUGCUAGUUUGGAUCCAAAUGCUGUCAAAGCUCUCAAUGAAAUGUGGAAGUGUCAGAACAUGCUUAGAAGUCAUGUACGAGAACUGUUGGAUUUGCACAAGCAACCUACAUCAGAGGCUAACUGUUCUGCCAUGUUUGGAAAACUGAUGACCAUAGCAAAAAAUUUGCCUGAUCCUGGGAAAGCACAAGAUUUUGUGAAAAAAUUUAACCAGGUUCUCGGUGAUGAUGAGAAACUGCGGUCUCAGUUGGAGUUGUUAAUCAGCCCAACCUGUUCAUGCAAACAGGCAGAUGUUUGUGUGAGAGAAAUAGCCCGGAAGCUUGCAAAUCCUAAGCAGCCAACAAAUCCUUUUCUAGAGAUGGUCAAAUUUCUGUUGGAAAGAAUUGCACCUGUGCACAUUGAUUCAGAAGCCAUAAGUGCACUGGUAAAACUGAUGAAUAAAUCAAUAGAGGGGACAGCAGAUGAUGAAGAGGAGGGUGUAAGUCCAGAUACAGCUAUUCGUUCAGGACUUGAACUUCUUAAGGUUCUGUCUUUCACACAUCCUACCUCGUUCCACUCUGCAGAGACGUAUGAGUCCCUGUUACAGUGCCUCAGAAUGGAAGAUGACAAGGUAGCAGAAGCUGCUAUACAAAUUUUUAGAAAUACAGGCCACAAAAUAGAAACAGACCUGCCCCAGAUACGAUCGACCUUAAUUCCUAUUUUACAUCAGAAAGCAAAGAGAGGUACUCCACACCAAGCAAAACAGGCUGUGCACUGUAUACAUGCCAUAUUCACAAAUAAAGAAGUCCAACUUGCACAGAUUUUUGAGCCACUUAGUAGGAGUCUGAAUGCUGAUGUACCAGAACAACUUAUAACUCCAUUAGUUUCAUUGGGCCACAUUUCUAUGUUAGCACCGGAUCAAUUUGCUUCCCCAAUGAAAUCUGUAGUAGCAAAUUUUAUUGUGAAAGAUCUCCUAAUGAAUGACAGGUCAACAGGUGAGAAGAAUGGAAAAUUAUGGUCUCCAGAUGAAGAGGUUUCCCCUGAAGUACUAGCAAAGGUACAGGCAAUUAAACUUCUGGUAAGGUGGCUGUUGGGUAUGAAAAACAACCAGUCUAAAUCUGCCAAUUCAACUCUUCGGUUAUUAUCAGCGAUGUUGGUUAGUGAGGGUGACCUGACAGAGCAAAAGAGAAUCAGUAAAUCUGAUAUGUCUCGCUUGCGAUUAGCUGCUGGUAGUGCCAUAAUGAAGCUUGCUCAGGAACCUUGUUACCAUGAAAUUAUAACCCCAGAACAGUUUCAGCUCUGUGCGCUGGUUAUUAAUGAUGAGUGCUAUCAAGUAAGGCAGAUAUUUGCCCAGAAGCUACAUAAGGCACUUGUAAAGUUACUGCUCCCAUUGGAGUAUAUGGCGAUCUUUGCCUUGUGUGCCAAAGAUCCUGUGAAGGAGAGAAGAGCACAUGCACGACAGUGUUUACUAAAAAAUAUCAGUAUACGAAGGGAGUACAUUAAACAGAACCCCAUGGCUACUGAGAAAUUAUUAUCACUGUUGCCUGAGUAUGUAGUUCCAUAUAUGAUUCACCUGCUAGCCCAUGAUCCAGAUUUUACAAGAUCACAAGAUGUUGAUCAGCUUCGUGAUAUUAAAGAGUGCCUAUGGUUCAUGCUUGAAGUUUUAAUGACAAAGAAUGAAAAUAAUAGCCAUGCCUUUAUGAAGAAGAUGGCAGAAAACAUCAAGCUAACAAAAGAUGCCCAGUCUCCAGAUGAAUCCAAGACAAAUGAAAAACUUUAUACAGUAUGUGAUGUGGCCCUGUGUGUUAUAAAUAGUAAAAGUGCUUUGUGCAAUGCAGAUUCACCAAAGGAUCCAGUCCUUCCAAUGAAAUUUUUUACCCAACCUGAAAAGGACUUCUGUAAUGACAAGAGUUAUAUUUCAGAAGAAACAAGAGUACUUCUAUUAACAGGAAAGCCAAAACCUGCUGGAGUACUGGGUGCAGUAAACAAGCCCUUAUCAGCAACGGGAAGGAAACCAUAUGUUAGAAGCACUGGAGCUGAGACUGGAAGCAAUAUUAAUGUAAAUUCAGAGCUAAACCCUUCAACCGGAAAUCGAUCAAGGGAACAGAGUUCAGAGGCUGCAGAAACUGGAGUUAGUGAAAAUGAAGAGAACCCAGUGAGAAUUAUUUCUGUCACACCUGUAAAGAAUAUUGACCCAGUAAAGAAUAAGGAGAUUAAUUCUGAUCAGGCUGCCCAGGGCAACAUCAGCAGUGACCGAGGAAAAAAAAGAACUGUAACAGCAGCUGGUGCAGAGAAUAUCCAACAAAAAACAGAUGAAAAAGUAGAUGAAUCAGGACCACCUGCCCCUUCAAAACCCAGGAGAGGACGUCGACCCAAGUCUGAAUCUCAGGGCAAUGCAACCAAAAAUGAUGAUAUAAAUAAACCUCUUAGCAAGGGAAGAAAGAGAGCCGCAGUCAGUCAGGAAAGCCCUGGAGGUUUGGAGACAGGUAAUGCCAAAGCACCCAAACUGCAAGACGUAGCCAAAAAGGCAGCACCAGCAGAGAGACAAAUUGACCUACAAAGGUAAAAAGAAGAUUCAGUUGCAAAGGGAGAAAAUGAAGGCCAAACAGAAGCAGGAUCUAGCGUCUGCAAAAACUUGGAUUCAAAAUGAUCCUGAACAGAAAAUGAAGUUAACUUCAGAACACACUUUCUGCCUUGAAAACUGAAAAAAGCUAUUACUUCCUUUUUUCACAUGACCACAAAUCCUUUGAUGGAAAUGUACAGCAGAAACUCUUGAGAGAGAAGCUAAAAGCAACUCUAUUUUACCCCCCCCCCAGACUUUUCUUAUGAAAAGUCAAUAAUUAAGCAAAUUGCUUAACACUUGGUUCCAGUUCCUGCGUAUCUGGAGUUUAACGUCAUAAUACACCAUUAAUUUCCAUGCUGCAGUCUUUAUUUUAAAGAAAGUAACAGGAUGUCCUUACACUGACAAUGAAAAUUCAUCAGUUUUAGAGCCAGGAAUUUCCCGUGUUACACAAGAAAAAAAAUAGAAGUCUACUGAAUUAAUUUUUUAGAAGAAGAGAGAUCAGAUUAAAUAUUUCUUUGUUUUUCCUUUUGGAAACUUUUAUGUAUAAUUCUUUCUGCCUGCCUACUUUUCUGCAAAAUGAGAUGUACAGAUUUCAGUUCCCUGCUAUGAAAAGUGAUGUGGUGGCAAUUUUAUAAAUGUUGCUUUCUGAUUUUUAUCAGAGUGAGAAAAUAAUUAAAAUUAUUAUUGAUUUCAUAUCACUCCAUAUUUUGAUUUCCCCUCCAUUUUAGUUUAAUAUAAUUUUCAAUAAAUGUACAUAUUGUUGUUUGUUUCAUAAAGCAUAUCACUUUAAAAAUAGUUUUUACUCCUGUGAUUAUGUUGGAAUAUUUGGAAUCUUAAAGGAGUAAAGACUGUCCAGCAUUUGGUUUCAUAAUGUUUGUCACCAGAUUUUUAUUAUUGAUGUAAAAAAGUCAAUUUUUUUAAAUAGUUGGACUUUUGGCAGCUUUGUAAGGAAAGUGGGAAGUGUUUAGGAUUGCUAUCAAUUUUCAGCAUUGUGCUGUUGGGAAAUAAGUGUUUCGCUUUUGUCUGCCAGUCUGGGCUCCAUUUUUAUGUUUAUUUUAGAAGAUAACUGUUGCAUCAGUAUAUUAUUUCUUGGCAUUGUUCAGCAUAGGUAACGUGUGCACUUUUUGUGUACACAUAUUCAUAUUUAAGUUUUUGCAUAAAAUAAAUGCUUCUAGAUGUCAUAUGGCAGUCUUUUUUAAUCUUUUUAUCAUAUGUUGUGAAAUUUUUUAUGUGAAAGGGCUAAAGUCAUAAACAAAGCAUGAUUAUAGUCAACUCUCCAUUAUCUAUAUUAAAUAGUGACUGUGCCUCAGGUUUUAGAUUUUGCAGUAAUCAUAAAAUUAAAAUAAUGAAGGCAUACCGUAAGAGCUAAUUCAGGAGGAACUUGAGAUGGGUCCUUUCUCACACCCAGCGUCACCACCUGCCCCGUUCUCCAUGCCGAGCCCUUCCCCGAAGCCCUGUCUCUCUGAACGUGCUCAGUGUCCUUGCACACACUAGCGUGGGUUUGAGGACAUAAACAUUUGUGUGAUAACUUGGUCCUGACAGGCUGUAGUCGACAUGGGAUGUAAAACAAAGUGACCAUGAGCUGUGUCAAAAAGGGAUCAUGCUGUUAAUGUGAAAUUUGCUGGUAGUGAAUGUCACUUAUGUUCUCAUAGAUAAUCAAGAGUUGGCUGUACAAUGAGUGAGUGAAAGAUGGGUAAUUCUUUGAAAUAUGCAUAUACACACACAUAGGUAUUGGAUGAUGGUUAAGGAACAGUGGAAACCAGUGAUAGAAAACAGUAUCUUUUAAAAGGGCAGCAAAAGCCCCCUUUUCCUUAUUGCCUCUUCAUAACCCUUUAGAAGGAAAGUAUAAAGUAUUGCCUCCAACAUGCUGAAAAAGAAUAUCUAUGCAUCAACAUCAGAGAAGUCCCUCAAGCAAUCAGUGGACAUGUUCUAUAUUUAGAUUUUGAAGUUCUCUUAGCAUCAGACAACUUGUUUCGUAAGGCCACUAAUUUGCCACCAAUAAAAAGCACACUGGUAGGGACCUCCUCUCUCUCUUAUCUCUUUUUGACUAAGUGCUCAGCAUCACAGCUGACUAGAUGACCUAGUGUGAAGACAUUAAUGUAGCAGACCAUUCGCAGCAGUUAUGGCCGCUCAGAUUUUUGCAGCAGAGGAGUAAGCUAAAAGGGUCUGGUCCACAUACAUGUGUGAAUGGCCCGCUCCUGAUUUUUCAUAUGAAGCAAGUGUCUGGCACUAAGGGAAGGGGAGAGCAGGAUGAUAGAAAGUUUGAGCUGAUGGAGAGGGACUUGUUUAAGGGAAACUUGUCUUUUUUUCCUUUGAAAAAGGAAAAUUAAAAUCCCUUAAGAAUUUGAUAUUCACAUCUCAGAGAAAUACAACACAAAGUGCAGACUUAUAUUUGAGAAUUAAUGUUAACCCUUUGUGUCUAGUUUGAAGCUUCUUGUAUUUGUCUAAAACUACAAGCCAGAAUUUUGUAUCUCCUUUGAUAAAAAGUGUGUAUAAUGUAAAGUAGUUUUGCAUAUUCUUGUGCUGCACAUGGGCUGAAUUUUUAAAAAUUUUUUAAAGACUUGAAGCAGAACCUUGUAAUUUGUGUAAAUGACAAGUGUAAAAUCCUACCAUAAAAAUGCUAAAAAUAUGCAUUGUUUCAAAUAAAAUCAAGAAAUGCAGCAUUA